UACAGAGGGGGCAAGCGUUGUUCGGAAUUACUGGGCGUAAAGGGCGCGUAGGCGGCCUGUUAAGUCGAACGUGAAAUCCCCGGGCUCAACCCGGGAACUGCGUCCGAUACUGGCAGGCUUGAAUUCGGGAGAGGGAUGCGGAAUUCCAGGUGUAGCGGUGAAAUGCGUAGAUAUUGGGAAGAACACCGGUGGCGAAGGCGGCGACCUGGUCCGUGACUGACGCUGAGGCGCGAAAGCAUGGGGAGCAAACAGG
rnacentral:rRNA from 1 species